CCGUGGCGCACCCUAGAGAUAGGGCGUUUCCUUCGGGAACGCAAUGACAGGUGGUGCAUGGUCGUCGUCAGCUCGUGUCGUGAGAUGUUGGGUUAAGUCCCGCAACGAGCGCAACCCUUGUUACUAGUUGCCAGCAUUAAGUUGGGCACUCUAGUGAGACUGCCGGUGACAAACCGGAGGAAGGUGGGGACGACGUCAGAUCAUCAUGCCCCUUAUGACCUGGGCUACACACGUGCUACAAUGGACGGUACAACGAGUCGCGAACUCGCGAGGGCAAGCAAAUCUCUUAAAACCGUUCUCAGUUCGGACUGCAGGCUGCAACUCGCCUGCACGAAGUCGGAAUCGCUAGUAAUCGCGGAUCAGCAUGCCGCGGUGAAUACGUUCCCGGGUUGGA
rnacentral:rRNA from 2 species